GUCUAGGGUAGCCUAGUGGUCAUGGCAUCUGCCCAGUAAGCGGAAGGUCGUGGGUUCGAUUAUCCCUUGACA
rnacentral:tRNA from 1 species